CUCAUAGGCAGAAGGGACUUGCCUUCUCUCAGAUGACACUUUGGACUGUGGACUUUGAGUUAAUGCUGAAAUGAGUUAAGACUUUGGGAUACUGUUGGGAAGUAUUACACAGAAAGAAUUACCCAGCUGGUCCAGAGUAAAUAUUUACACAUACUUAGGUGGAAGAGGUUUUGCCAACACAGUAAGAUCAUGGAGCAACUUAUCCUCUUUACAAGAAACAAGUUGGCUACAUUAUGCAGGAGAACAAUGAUGUCCUUCAGAGAGCUGAAAGAUUGUUGCUCGAGAAAACUUCCUCCUAACUUAGUGACACAGGAAGAUCUUACUAUUUACACAAAGUGGUUAGUGCGCCACCUGCACUCUCUCAGGAUUGUGCACCACUGCCUGCAGGUAUGUGAAACCCAGUGAUGUGAUGAUGUGGUACCCUUCCAGGGAUGAUCAGUAUAUUGUUUUCUCAUAUCUGUCACUUAGUUUUAGAUUGUCACUGUUUCAGGACUCUAUCUGCCCUACAAAUGACAGAAAAAAUAAUGGACCACUGGAUUUCUUCUUUGAAACCUUAGACAUCCUUUUCUUUUGAAGCUUUAUUCAUCUGAAAUAAUUAAUUCAGCAUUCUCAAAGAUGUCUCUGUUGUACCGUUUCAUAUUUACUCUGUAAGUUCUUGUCUUUAUCAUUUUGUUCAGGAUUUAUGCUCUCUGGUUUAUAUCCACUUUUUAAAUAUUAGGCAAUGCUUAAUGAGGGUCUAAUAUGUGCCAGGUACUUGUCCUAGGUAUGCAGCAAAGAUACAGCUUUUGCUAAAAGUAACUGGGUCCUAAGCUGGUAGGAGAUGGGUAGGUAAAUAUUCAACUGAAAUACAAUGGGGUAAAAAAGAACAGGGUAAAGAGAGUCACAGAGAGGCCGUAAGUCAGGCUAG
rnacentral:lncRNA from 13 species